rnacentral:lncRNA from 1 species
AACGCGGGAAACUCAGCUUGAUUUUAUGGCUAUGUAUACUACUAAAACUGGAUAAUUAAGCGCUUAUUUAAAUUUUUUGGCUUUAAAACCUAAUAUAUUUUAAAACUAGAAGAGUUUAUCUUUAUAUUAAAAAAAAAAAUUAGACUUGGGUUACUUUUUUUAAAUUUAAAAACAGUGCACAUCAAAUACUAUUAUUUAGCUAUAAAUAAAUAUAAAAAUGACUGAGUCUCAUAUAACAAAAUUUAAAAAAUUAUGUCGAAUAUGUGGAGAAAAACUUUGAAAUCGUAGUGUUUUUUUAAAAAACCAUGUAAAUAGAAUAGAAUUGCAUUUUUUUAUACGAAUCGACAACGACGACCCAAAGAUGCACCCACAGAAGAUGUGUUACAGAUGCUAUUCAAUAAUGAGAAACAUAGAAAAAGGUUCCAAUACUAAUCUUAAAUUAAGAACCUUGAUUAGCAAUUGCCAGAAAUAUGAAUGUGUUUGCUUUAAAGUAAAUGAAGGAAGGAAACCAAAGAAAACUGUAAAAGGAAGGCCCUUGAGUAUAGCUAAUGAAGAAAUUUGGACUCGACAAGCAAUAAAUGACAUACAAGCUAAACUUUCACCUCUUCCAACUUUAAAUCUAAAACUACAAGACAUUAACCAAAACUUCAACCCACAUGUACAUCUUUGUGUCUGUUAUAUUUGUAAUAGUAUUAUGUAUAAACCAGUUAUCUUAAAAAACUGUCUGCAUUCGUUUUGUGCACCAUGUAUAUUACCACUUAUUAAUAAUAAAUUAUUAUCUAAAAUAAAAUGCCCUAAAUGCUUUUUUCAAUUUCAAUUAAUGAAUUAACCUCCUCUAGCAAUGUUAUUGAAAUGAUAAAUAAUAUUCAAGAAGAAUGUGAGCAACGUUGUGGUAGAUUAUUUAAAGUGUCACAACUGUCAGAACGCCUGAGUCAUCAAAAUAUUUUUCAGACACCAAUACCAAUUUCCACAACAUUGUCAACAUCAUCAACAUCACAAACAAGUCUAUCAGAUAUAUUUGCAUUAAAUUCAACAAGUGUUAUCACAAGGGAUAUUGAUGCUGUUGCACUUCAUAUUAUUAAACAAAAAAUGUUGCAAACAACAUCCAACGUAAUAGAAUUUCAGACGGAUGGACCAAGGCCUUUAUGCUUUACAUCAACACCAAAUGCAUGUAAAAAAAGUAAAGAUGCAACUUUACGAACAGUUCGCAAACAACAAUUACAGUUAAACGAUUAGAUAAGCACAACGUAUGGUGAAAGCAUUAGGUCGAAAAUCAAGCAAACCACUACUCUUUUGGAAUCGUUCAAUGAAAAUGAACAAGAAGUUAUUCUAAGUAAUUCAAAUAUAUUAAAAACUAAAAUAUCAGCUGAAGAAAUAAUAAGUUUAAAAGCUAACAUAAGCAGUACCUAUGCCAACAUGAAAAUAUUUUUUAGGUGGUUGAAAACCAAGAACAUCAUUUGUGCUUCAAACGCACAACAAAGAUGCGUUGCUAAGAAAUGGUCAUGUGAUGAUCUUAUUAUUGAAAAAGCUCCAUUUAUGGUUGAAAAAAAAGAGUCCAAAGCAACAACUUACUAUUGAACAAAAAGAUUAAAAGCAAUGAAAUCCAUAUAAAAAUAGGAGGUGACCAUGGAGGUGGCUCGUUCAAAAUGUGUUACCAAGUAGUGAACGUAGAGAAACCUAAUGCAAAAACAAACACAACUGUCUUUAAUAUAUUUGAAGCAAAUGAUUGUAAAACAAAUCUGAAGUUUUCACUGUCAAGAUUUAAGUCAGAAAUUGAUUUGUUGCAAAAUACCAUUUGGAGGUAAGAAUUUUCAAACGUAGAGAAAAACAGAUUCGUAUAUUUUUAUUUGGUGAUUACAAAUUCUUGUGUGCAAUCUAUGGAAUAACUGGUGCAACUGGUAGACAUGCAUGUCUGUUAUGCAACAUUACAAGACAAGGAAUGUCAACUCUAAUCAAGGACAAUAUUGAAAUGCGAUCACUUGAGACACUAGAUUCACAUUUAGAAAAAUAUAAAAAUCAUGGUUCAGAUCCCAAAUUUGCCAAGUUAUGUGAUAAUGUUAUUGACCAAAGGUUAUUUAAUGUGCCACUUGAUCAGAUUGGAAUUUCAGCAUUACAUAUCUUGCUUGGUACGUAUUUAAAAUUUUUCAAUAUGUUAGAAGAUUCUUGUCAUACAAUUGACGUCAAAAUUGCAUGUCGAAUGGCAGUAAACAACCAAACACUUGACUGUGAAGAGUUUAACAAAUAUAUUGAGAAACAACGUCAAAUAAAACAACUUCAGACAAGUAUUUAGGAUAUUAAAAAUAAAACAGGUAUCAUAACAGAAGCACUUGAAACUCACAUAUAAGCUAACCCUGAAAAUGAAGAAUAUAUAAAGUUAGUAUUUGAACCACGUAUAAGUCACUUUGAAGAGAAAAAAAAAGAAAAGAUCUCAGAAUUGAAAAUAAUGAAAGAAACUGACCAUGUAGAGAUGUCAUUUGAUUCACUAGUAAAUAAACUUGACGAGGUAAUUAAUUUGUUAAGAGUGCAAAGGCAAGCAUACUAUGGAAAAAGUUUUGUUGGUAACCAUGUUAACAAAAUGUUUAAGAUGAAAAGUAUCCUCGAACUAUGCAACUCAAUACUAAAGCUCGUAGUCGAACUUGGGUUCAAGGAUACUGAUAUACACAAUGAAACUAUUGAACUUUGUCAGAACUUUAAAGUCCUAUUUGAUAAGUUUGGGGUUUGCCACAAGCUUAUUAACUCCUGCAAGCAGUUCAACGAAGAAAACAUUCAAAAUCUUGGUAUGACAUCUAUCUGUGAAGGAACAAGUUUUGAUCAGCAUUCAGCGAGUUAAUGAUAAAUUUAAGAUUGAGAAGCUUUUUAUGUGAUUUUACCAAACCGAGAACAUCAAGAGCGUAGCUUUGUUAAACUGUGUUAUAGACGUUUUGUGUCAAUUUUGCCUUUUAAUUCAGAAUAGUCAAAGCCGAUGAUUUGACGGAUCGUCUAACAUGUUUGGAAGUAUUUAUGGGUUGCAGACUUUAAUGAGAGGAAAAGAAGAGCGGGCAAUUUACGUGCAAUGUUAUGCUCAUAAUCUCAGUUUGGUAGAAUGAGAUUCUGUUGACAAUCAAAUAGAGAUCAAGAAUAUAACUAAUUUGGUGUAAUCAUUCAUUGCAUUUGCCCGUGUAUCUCCAAAACACCUAGCAUGUUUCAAUAAAUUUUGUAGAAAAAUGUAGAGGAUGUAGAAAGCGGAACAUCAUUGCGGCUAUUUUGCCCCACUCGAUAGAUCCUUAGAAAACCAUCCAUUAUAUCUAUUACAAGUAACUAGUCCGCCAUUACCAGAUGGUUAGAGGAUUUUGAAAAUUAUUCUGAUAAUUCAGCCAAAAAUAAGUCAAAAGCAGCAGGUUAUCUGGAAUCUUUUUGUAAGUUUGACAUAUUUUUGAAACUGAAAAUUUUGCGCAUAACCUUCAUGAUAAUUGAGGAUGCGCAUAACCUUCAUGAUAAUUGAGGAUGCGCAUAACCUUCAUGAUAAUUGAGGAUGCUAAUACAGCACUCCAAGGUAAAGAUUGUUUUCUUUUAUGGUGAAUUUUUAUUUAAUAUAUUAAAUUAUGAUAAUUGAGGCAGAUGCAGAUGCCUCGGAAAUGUAAAAUUUCAUUACAAUUUUCUGGAAGUGGAGUUCCAUACUUUGCUACGACUUCAGAUGACCACUACCGCCAGCUUUACUAUGCAUUUCUGGAUUGUUAUUUAUAAAGAAAUUUGUGACCCGUUUUGAACUGACAAAGACCACUGAGAAUUUAGAAAUAUAGAAAUGUUUAUCAUUGGUCAGUGCUUGAAAUGUAGGAUUCGUUUAGGCUUUUUUACAAAGAUGGCUUUGAAAAUUAUAGAAGUCUAAAACUGCAUUGCGAUUUAUUUGUGAAUUAUGCCAAAUAUUAAACUAAAUGAUUUUGAAUCAGUUUUGAGCAAGCUUGUAGACUAUGAUGGUGUAUUUUCUCAAUUAAUUCCACUGAUUCCCAAUUUUAUAAAACUAGUAAUAAUUUUAUUAUGUAUGCCUGUCACCGUGUCACACGCGAACGUGUGAGCGCUCUUUUUCUUGUCUUCGUAGGCUAAAGACUUGUUUGCGUUUUACAAUGUCUCAAGAAAGAUUGAAUCAUCUCGUUCUUUUAAAUUGCCAUAGUUAUAUCGCCUGCACUCGGAUAAUAACUUUUUGUGUUAUUUAAAUUUUGUGUUAU